rnacentral:rRNA from 1 species
UUGCCUAUAGAAUAAAUUUUAGGUACAGCCUGCUCAAUGUAAAACUUUACUAUUUUUAUAAAUAGCCGCAGAAAAUUAACUGUGCUAAGGUAGCAUAAUCAUUUGUCUUCUAAUUAAAGGCUAGAAUGAAAGGUUUAACAUUUUAUUUUCUUUUUUAAAUCUAAUUAAUUUAAAUUAUACUAAAUAUAAAAAUAUAUUUAUCUAAAAAUUAGACGACAAGACCCUAUCGAACUUUACUCUAGUUAUGCUGGGGCAGCUAAUUAAUUAAAAUUUUAAUUUAAAUAAAACAUCAAGAGAUCCAAUAAAAUUGAAUAUUUGAUCAAGUUACCGUAGGGAUAACAGCGUAAUUAUUUUUUAAAGCUCUUAUUUAAAAACUAGAUUGCGACCUCGAUGUUGAAUUAAUUUUCUUUUUUACGAAAAAGUAUAAAAAGUAGGUCUGUUCGACCUUUAAAAUUUUACA